rnacentral:lncRNA from 1 species
AUAGAGGCAGGUUCAGAAUGCAAUUUCACCCGUUACACGCCGUUCCACCGCAGGGCGGGGAGCUCAGGGGGCGGCCGCCUCCCCGCCGGUCCGAGCCCACACGAAGUCCAUUUACUUGAGCGGGAUGAAGCGCGACGAGUGAGUCGCGCCGAUACCCGGGCGGCCGUGCUUCACGGGCUUGUAGGAGAUGGAGAACUCAGCCAGGUAGUGGCCGACCAUCUCGGGCUUAAUCUCCACCUGGUUGAAGGUCUUGCCGUUGUAGACGCCCACGACGGAGCCAAUCAUCUCCGGCACCACAAUCAUGUUGCGCAGGUGCGUGCGCACAGGCUCCGGCUUCUCGCCGCUGGCCGCCAGCUUCUUCACCUUGCGGAGCUUGACGAUGAAGGACUGGUGCUUCCGCUUCAGACCGCGCUGGAAGCGGCGGCGCUGACGAGCGGCGAACAGCUGAACGUAGUCGCUGGUCUUCAUGUCCAGCAGCUGGUCCAGGUCCACCCCGCGAUAGGUGAACUUGCGGAAAGUGCGCUUCUUGUCACCGGCGGCGUCAGCCAUCUUGCCUAGCUUUUGAAACUACGAGCCUGACGGCGAGAGAAAGAGGAAGGAGCAGGCGAGGGCCUCGCUCCUGUGCACACCGCCGCCAGGGCGCGGGGGCGCCCAUCGCGAUCCCCAUGUCCAUUUUCAUAGCCGGCUUUCGCACUAAAUAUAAUUUAUGUUGCUCAUUCAAAGUGUGAGCUUUACGUUAUAUAGGGCUAAACAAGGGAAAACCCCUCCUAGACCAGACUCCACUUCGCUCCCGAGCUCGCGCCAAAAAUGCAGACCCAGCUAACGGCUCGCGCACAGACUGCUGCUCCCUUCCGGUGCGCUGCUCGAAACGGUGCUUCAGCGCGACUUGGGCUCUGUCGCGCAUCAAACCUCUCAUAUCCUUGCCCGCGCGCGUCGCUGCUCGGAUGCAGGGGCAUCGCGGCGCAGCGCACUCGCGUGAGGACCCAGGCGCUGUUUGGCUUCGGGUGAGGCACGAUUCGAGCGGGGCGAGUGAAAGCGAAGCUCUCAUCCAUCCCGACGAGCGAUGAGGGUCGCCAGGAAGCGAAAAGGGUCGCGAUGGUCGCUACGCUAUGUGGCCUUGCUUAUGGGGAGUCACGCGGGCUACCGGGUGGAGUUUGUGUUGUAUGUCGGGGUUUCAGUCUCGCAACAUCCCCCACACCAUCCCGCCGGUUGCACGAGCCCUUCGUUGUCCAUGCAUGGAUGAAGCAAAAACCCUGAUAGCCUCUAUCCAUGUGCAUGUGUGUGUGGCCGCUUGCAGCAAGUCCAAGAAGGAGGUGGAUGAGGAGAAGGAGGAGGAGUUCCGGAAGCAGCAGGUGGGCAAGCGUGGCGUGAGUGCUUGGAAGUGGACGGGCUGUGUACAGUGUUGUGUAGUGGGGAGCGCCCUGGGGCGUGCAGUCUCCAAAACCCGCCAUGGCCCACAGCCAUGUAGGCCCACAGCCAUGCAGGAGUCCCUGGACUGGUAACGGCCGUUGCCUGCCGCCUGCCAGUACUGCAUUCCUGCUCAGCGUCACGCUGCCCCUUGGCUGCCCGCAUGUCUCCCGCCCUCCAAUAAGACCACAUACCCGUAUUGCUGCUUCGCUCACAUCAUCACCUGUUAUCGUGUUUCCUAACUCAAUAGGAACUGAUCCAGAAGCGCAAGAGCGGCGUGCUCAUCAAGGAGGCCAACGACCGCCGCCGCAAGGUUGCGGUGAGUGCUCGCUCCUCAUCAUGUGUGCACGGCUGGGGGCGGGGGCGGGGGCGGGGGCACACACACACGCACGGACGCCUGGUGCUGCGCAAGGGGCGGCUGGCCAGGAUUGCACCUCUGUGGCUGGCCCAGGCCCGUGCGCCAUGCAUUGGGGGCUGGGGGCACACACACAGCCAUUCAUGAGGCCGUCGAAGGGGCGGCUGCAUACGGUGAUGCGCUAUGGGUUCGCACCGACAGCGCUGGGGGAGGGGGGUCGUGGCGGGGGCCACACACCGCCGCAUGCACCACACGCAGUGUGGUCACACACAUGCGGUCCGGGCACGUCUCUUCUCGCCCACACGCCUCCUCUCACUCCCCACCUCUUCCCCGCGCCCCCACCCCCGCCUGUGCUGCCUCUCGCGUUUGGCUCGGUCCACCUGUUGCACGCCCUCACCCCCCCCCCUAUGCGACUGUACCUGCCUACCACUUCACUUCUUAGUGAUCAUGAGUGUAAACCCCCCCUCACCCGCCACUCCCGCUCUCGGUGCGCACGCGGUGUCACCCACUCCCACUCCCACGCCCACGCCCACACCCCCACAGGAGACGCUGCAGGAGCGCAAGAACCUGCGCGCGGCGGAGAAGGAGGCCCUGGCGCGCGGCGAGAUGCCGGAGACCCUGCAGGGCUGGAAGGUGGGGGGCCGCUAGGGGGAUGGUGGUGGCGGUUAGUUCGUUACAAUCCCUAAGAAACCAAGACCCAGAGCCGACAGAGCGCGGGGCUAGAAGGGGGCUGGAAGGGGCCGGCCGCUGGGGGGUGCGGGCAUGGGGGCCCUCCAGGGCGGCAUUUAGAGGGGUGACGGUAGGGGCCAGCGGCGCCUGGGCGAGGUGGCGCCGGGGGUAAGGGAAGGGGACGGGCGAGCGGGCGAACGCGAGGUGCAGUGACAUGCAGACCAUGAGGGCGCUGGUCGGAAGAGCGGCACAAUCACCCACUUGGCGGGCUGGUGGUGGUGGUGGUGGUGGUGCAUGGUGGCGGUGGUGUGGGGUUGGGCUGGGCUGGGUGGCUGGCUGGCAGUAGGGCGCCAGUGGCCCUACGUGCCCUACUUUGCCUCUUCUUCACCCAUCCAUGACAC